UAGCCACUAGACUGCUUUGUGCGUAUGGGUUUUUUCUUCCCUAUACUGUAAGCCAGUUCUGUUUCAGUAGAAAAGGUUGACUGUAUGAUAGGUGGCUGUUCUCUGAAGAGUUCUUGUUUUCUUGAUGGACCCAGGACCGACUUGUGGGACCACCCAGGGGACAUCCCACACGGAACACACAGAGCGCAAGCCUGUGGCUCUGGUGGGGUGCGCGUUUGCUCCUUCUGCCUUUCAGAGAACAGGGGUCGCAGCCACAUCUGCAGUGUGCAGGGGCACAGCUCUCCAGGGCAGCCAGGGGACCAACGUCCUGGAGAAGUUGGUAACAGGGCAGAGACGCAGCACAAGGGGGACAAAGGAAGCCAUCUCAGCCCUGAUCCCUGAGGAUCAACACCAUCCAGGGCACCUGGGAGCUUAUUAGAAAUGCACAGGUUCGGCUUCAUCCCACAUCCGUGACUCAGAGCUGCGUUUGAACAAGAUCCACAUGCGCUCCUGUGCACAUUCUAGUUUGAGAAGCACUGCAGCUCUCACCUGCAUUCAAGGCUGCAGCCUUCUGACAGCAGCACAGAUGCCGCCCCCUCCAGGAAGCCUUCCAGGAAGGGGCUUCGGAUGCCCCUUUCGCAUCCCCCCUCCUCUGCAUCCUGCCACCGCCACCACGUUGUCACCUGGAUCUCCUCCAUGUCCUUCCUUGCCUGUUGCUGAAGAUCUUCAUGUCUACCCUUCCUCAGAGCGAGCAUCUCCGAGGAUCACGGCGCCGCUUCAUGGGGGCCCAUGUGGAAGGCAAACUUCUGCAGCUCAGCCUUGCAGGAGCAGAAGGAAAACAUCUGCAGGAAGCAGACAACUUCGCCUGCGCCACCUUCCCUCCAUCAGUCACCGGCCUAAUGAGAUACUCUUGCACUUGGCUUUUUUUUUUUUUUCCACCCCCUUUUCACUAAAGGACCCUAAUGCGUUCUGCAGACAUGAGCUCAUGAAGCCUCUCUGGGGGAGGCAGGGGCAUCCUCUUCUCGCUGUCUCGCCAGCCUUUGCUGGCUCGACCGUGCUCCUAAGAUACCUGUGGCCCAGAAGACCCACACUCCCCAUUUGGAGCAGAGGUCAGUGUUUGUCUCACUCAUGUCUUCCGUUGGGACCCUGUCCCCUCUGUGGCUACAAGUCCUUUUUUUUUUUUUUUUUUU